rnacentral:rRNA from 1 species
AACGAACGCUGGCGGCAUGCUUUACACAUGCAAGUCGAACGCGAAAGCGGGGGCAACCCUGCCGGUAGAGUGGCGAACGGGUGAGUAACACAUCGGAACGUAUCCUCGCGUGGGGGACAACCAGUCGAAAGACGGGCUAAUACCGCAUGAGAUCGAAAGAUGAAAGCAGGGGACCCGCAAGGGCCUUGCGCGAGAGGAGCGGCCGAUGCCCGAUUAGCUAGUUGGUGGGGAAAAGCCCACCAAGGCGACGAUCGGUAGCUGGUCUGAGAGGACGGCCAGCCACACUGGGACUGAGACACGGCCCAGACUCCUACGGGAGGCAGCAGUGGGGAAUUUUGGACAAUGGGGAAACCCUGAUCCAGCCAUGCCGCGUGUGUGAAGAAGGCCUU